GCACUGUUGGUGUCACAGUGGCUAUCAUGCUUGCCUCCCAUACUCUGAGAUUUCUUUGCAUGGACAAGUGGGUCGGGUUCGAAUCCCAAGCGGUGUA